AGGAGAGUCAAAACGAAGGAAGAGCAAGACAGAUGUGCCGUGGCUGUCAUUAGUUAGCAGAGACUACCCACCUUGUGGUAACACAGUGAACUGUAACUGCCGGGUAAAGAGAGUGAGAGAGAAGGAAUGAGAAAGGGAGAGAGAGAGAGGAGAGAGAGAGGGAGGGAGUUUAAACUAAGAGCUAUGUUUUGGGACAAGCUAAUCUGCCAGAGAGCUGUGUAAGGAUCGGAGCACAUUGUGUGUGAGAGUGUGCGGGGGAAAGAUAAGGGAGCAGUCCUACGAGCCCGGCUGCUUGUUUUAAUGUGCUGACUCCGGGGAGAUAAAGAAAAAAUAUUGACUCUCCAGUUGUGUGCCGAGACCCCGGGCACAAGCUCCAGAACUGACAGAGGUGUGCAAAGGCGAAAGGGGGGGAAAAAAAAACAACACAAGAAAACAAUAAAGGAUCUUUCUUUUUAAUUUCAGUUUUUUGGUCCUUUUUUUUUGUUCCGUGGGACUGCCUCCCAUUUCUGCAAGAGAGACAAAGAGAGGGGGGGGGGACAGCAAAAAGAAAGGAAAACAAAAGCCUUGGCAACAAGAUGUUUGAGAUCAGCCGAACACUGAAUGCCGCCUUGUUGAGCAAUGAGCUGUUGCAAAUGUGGCUCUAA
rnacentral:lncRNA from 1 species